GAAAAACACGAUACAGAAAUCUAAAACACUACACAACUCUUAAAAAGAGGCAGCAAAGAUGUGUGUGAUUCAAGUUAAAGGAACAAAAACAUGCAUAAAUUCUGCUACGGUGUCUGGGGCCCAAACUAAAAGUGGUUUCAGGUCAGUUAUGGCGGCUUAAAGCUUCAGUCUGGAUCUGAGCAAACACCAUCGCUACAGAUAAAGUGUUUGCUGGUAGUUUUACAGCAGCUGAACCUUUUAAUGUCACCAAAGCAUGAAUGAAUCCUUCUAAUCCCGAGUGGUUAAACUGAUGUUACACCUUCGAUAGCUUUGUGUUUUUUGUUUAUUUACCGAUGCUCCUCGAUAAGAAGCAGCAUCAGGAUCUCAUAUUCUUUCAGUGUCACUGCCAUAUGAAUCAGUACUUAAAGUAGAAACAAUUAUUUAUUCUUUUUUUCAUAAUUUUUGCAGAGGCGAUACUGAUCAUUUAGGUGUAUUAUUAUUAUUAUUUAAAGUACCAUAUGUAUUAACAUGUUAUGGCUGGUGACCAUACGUACAUCUCAAAUAUUAACAUAGUUAUUGUUGACUGACUGUUUUUUUUCUUUUAUUUUGUUGUUGCUGUUGUUGAACUAUAAUCUCGUUUGUAUCUAUCGGUGUCAUGUUCAGAUUUUUCAUUUGGACUGUCGGAGAGCAGGUCCGUCACAGAUUCGGUUGCAAAAUUCAACUGUCAGCAAAAAAAAAAACUGCGACGUGUUAGUCUUUUCAGGAAGUAGACCGGUCCAUUCUGGGCUUUACAGUAAAAUUAGAAUUUGAGAUGUGGACUGUGAAUUUAGUGCUGUUGGUUUAUCACGGCCUAACUGGUCCUGUGUGGGAGAAGCUCUUUGGUUUAUGUAUAUGUUGUUUUAAAGGAUAAAUUUGGCAUUAUUCUAUAUUUUUUCUAAACGAUAAAGAGCCCAUAUUCCGUUUUCCAUAAUUCCUUUAGCCUUUUUGUGCAUGUAAAAGGUCAGCAAACGUAAAAAGCCCAAAGAAAACACAGAAAACUCUGCUCCUUACCUGCUUGAAAUGCCUCGUUUUAAGUCCAGGAGUUUCUUAUGUUACUUAAUGACAUCAUCGUGUAACACAUUUGCUAGCUAAGUGGCUAAUUUGACAUGCAAAACACAGAAAAGGCAUCUGCUUUGUAUAUUUUCCUCACUAGAGCUGCUUCCUUUCGAGCUACAUCCCUGUACUCAGAGGUUACUAAUCAACACUUCCUGUUUUUUGUCGGCUCAGCUGACCAAUCAGAGCAGACUUUGCUCCUCAGGAGGCGUUGCUUAUUGAGCCUGGAGCUGAAAUGAAGCGUUUCAGACAGAUGGUAAGAAGAGAAAUGUACAUUAAGAGGAAAAUAAUGUGUUUUUUGAACAUUAAAGCAUGUUAACAUAUUCUAGUAGACCACAAAAACACAAUUAUAAACCUUUAAAUGUGCAGAAUAUGGGCUCUUUAACGAAUCCCAUGAAAAGACUUGAUUCAAUAAUAUGUUACUCGCAGUACUUUACUGUAGUUUUCAACAAAAGUCACUCAAACAGGAGAGAAUCUGUUACAGACUAUUUUCAGCUGAGGUUUAAUACACGUUUUCUGCUCUAGUGGGUAUUUGUGGCAGCAGGAUGGAGUCAAAGUAAACUACGACGUGUUUACAGUAUUUAAAGAACACGCCACAUAUUUACUUGUUAGGAUCGACUAACGGCUCGUUUCUGUAUUUUUAUAUUCAGAAAAGGUAUCAGAACCUGCAGUCAAGCAACAUAAUCAAAGGGAUUAUCAAAACUAGUGUUUGUGCAGUAUUUUUUAUUUACGUUCAUAUCGCUGUGCCAUUUUUGAGUCAUAAAAGUGUUAGUGGAAAGUUCAGGAGAUUUAAACUAAAUCUCCUUCUUUUGUUUUCUAUAAAAUACUGUCUGGCAGCAUUCAAAUAACCCAAGUUCAUGUGAUUCUUCCAGGCGACAGAACAGUUCAGUUUCAGGAUUUGUUGUGUUUAGAAGCCGACGUCCUGCAGCGUCUAAAGAUUCGCCUCCUGAACUCAGAUCGAACCUGUGACGGGACAGCGGAGGGUUUCAGCUUUGAGGUCGGAUCAUUACACAUCUCUUCAAAACCAAAUGCUUGUUGUUUUUUUAAAUUUUCUAUUUGUUCUGAAUGCAUAUCAGCUCUGUGGGAGUGCUUCUAAUGCCGUGCACACUGCAGUAUUAACAGUUAGACAAACGCCUUGAUAUUCCAAAAACAUUUAAUGUACUUUAAGUCGAGACAUAUAUGCUGUUUUGUAUCUUUUUUUUUGUUGUCAUAGAUUCUGCAGUUUAGUCAGUUUAUGUCGAUAUGGGAUGCCAAGACUUCUUUUUGUUGUUUUUGUUUGUUUUUGUAAAUUCAGCAGUUCUGUAACAAAGUGUUACCGCUUGACUGUGCUCCUUUUACUUUACAUUUAGUUUUAUUUUAUCAAAGAGCCGAUGUCCUGUAUUGACUGCAGGCUUACGUAUAUAUUUGACAAAAAAAAGAAUAUUGUAUGUUUAAUAAUAAAAAUGAAAAAAACUCAAAAACGAAAAGAAAAAAUGCCGAAAAAAGAAACGAAGAAAAACCAGGAAGGACAAAAAAAAAUAAGUGUAAUUUAUAUUUUAAAAAACUGCAUGCACAAGGCUGGGAAAGUCAUAUUUAGAAUAACAAAUGGCAGUGCCUUUUUUGUACUCGAGACAUUUACCCCAAAUGUAAAUGGUUUUAUAUGGACUUUAAAAACUGUAACGUUGCAGGAAGAAACUAAAGACGGCCGGGUCGCGUUCACUCUGCAGCCAAGAGUCAGAAUUUAGAUUGUUUAACGUUCUGAUGUGAUCCAAGGAUUGUUUCAGGGAGUUAAUUAGCUGUUUUUUAAUAACUUUCUGAAUCAUUUUGAUGCCAAUAUUCUCAUAUUUUGAUUGUCUUUAUGAGAAGGGUGUAAAAAUGUUUAAAAAUGAUAAUUAAUUUAGCUCGUACUUGGUUCCAUUUCUUUCUCAUUCUGAUCAUUUAGUCCAUGUUUGGCCUAAUUAAUAACAAAUACAGUAAAACAAGGUUCUCUGCAUCUUCUAGAUAAAUCAGUCAUUUCUAGAGUACAAAAGGAGACUAAAGUCAAAUCAAAUUUCAUUUUUUUUGCAGCUAUGGAUUAUUUCCUUUAUCAGCUCAUCUGCUGAUUGUUUUUCUAAUUAACUGAUUGGUCCAAAAAAUGCAGAAAAUGAUCCGUCACAGUUUCCCAGAGCACUUAUUUAUCCAAUAAUGCCUCAAAUUUGCUGCUUUUCUGACCAAGUGUCUAAAACUUACAGAUGUUUAGUUCACUAUAAUGAAAGACAAACACAUUUGAGAUGCUCGAAUAUCAUUUAUUUGGCUUUAAUUGCGCUGCCUCCUAGACUGUAAUAGUCUUUAAAAAGCAACAUUUCACUGAAAAUAAUGUGAUUAUCUCGUUACUCUUUCACGUAACGGCAGAUCAGUUCCUCUGUUACAGACAGUUGAGCUGAAAACGUGUCAGGAAUCAGUCAGUGGACUCCUGAAGUGGAACAUUUAGCUGCAUCUUUCGCUGCGUCUUUAAAAACAUGCAUUAAAAUGUGCAUCAGAUCUUUAUCUGUGAUUCGAUGAGUGCUGCAGCUCCACCUGUAUCGUAGAGAGAGCCAGAAAUCUGCUCAUUAUGAUAAAAAACAUCACAUAUUUAGCACUUCCUGCUUCAUUCAGUCACAUUUCAGCCACUUUAUUCAUCAGAGUUACUGUUGAUGCUGUUCUAUUGGCAGGAGCAGCAUUUUCUGUUCAUUAGAAGCAGUAAAUUAUGAUGUCAUUGUAGUUAUUUUCUGCAUUAUAUAUGUAUACAUUGAUCUAUUUUACACAAAAAACAGUCUGAUGCACAGAUUUCUAAUUUCUACAACUGUUUCGACACUUUUUCUGAUUUAAAUGUUUGAAAAAGUGCAGCUUUGUUGCACCAGUUAAACUUCAUGGAGUAAAAUGUCAAAGCUCUCAGUUAAAUUUAGUAAUUUUUUGGAUGUUUUCCACUAAUUAACACAGCUUCUUAUCAGAUACGAGCUGCUUUAAAACUCUAAAUGUCUUGACUCUGGUUCUGCAGCGCGACCGUGAACCCGGACGUUGCUUUCUGCACUCAGUAGGUACUUCUUAAUGCUGAUAUGAAGUUAUGAAUUAUUCUGGUCUGUAUAAAAACAGAGGUGUGUGUGUGUGUGUGUGUGUGUGUGUGUGUGUGUGUGUGUGUGUGUGUGUGUGUGUGUGUGUGUGUGUGUGUGUGUGUGUGUGUGUGUGUGUGUGUGUGUGUGUGUGUGUGUGUGUGUGUGUGUGUGUCUGUGUGUGUCUGUGUGUGUCUGUGUGUCUGUGUGUGUGUCUGUGUGUGUGUCUGUGUCUGUGUGUCUGUGUGUCUGUGUGUGUCUGUGUGUCUGUGUGUCUGUGUGUGUCUGUGUGUGUG
ensembl:lncRNA